GUGGGGAAUCUUAGACAAUGGGCGCAAGCCUGAUCUAGCCAUGCCGCGUGAGCGAUGAAGGCCUUAGGGUUGUAAAGCUCUUUCAGGGGGGAAGAUAAUGACGGUACCCCCAGAAGAAGCCCCGGCUAACUCCGUGCCAGCAGCCGCGGUAAUACGGCGGGGGCUAGCGUUGUUCGGAAUUACUGGGCGUAAAGCGCACGUAGGCGGACCAGAAAGUGAGGGGUGAAGUGCCGGUGCUCAACCCCGGAACUGCCUUUGGAACUCCUGGUCUUGAGGUCGAGAGAUGUGAGUGGAAUUCGGGGUGUAGAGGUGAAAUGCGUAGAUAUUCGGAGGAACACCAGUGGCGAAGGCGGCUCACUGGCUCGAUACUGACGCUGAGGUGCGAAAGCGUGGGGAGCAAACAGGAUUAGAUACCCUAGUAGUCC
rnacentral:rRNA from 1 species